GACGGAGGAUGCAAGCGUUAUCCGGAAUGAUUGGGCGUAAAGCGUCCGCAGGUGGCAGUUCAAGUCUGCUGUCAAAGACCGGGGCUUAACUUCGGAAAGGCAGUGGAAACUGAACAGCUAGAGUAUGGUAGGGGCAGAGGGAAUUCCCGGUGUAGCGGUGAAAUGCGUAGAGAUCGGGAAGAACACCAGUGGCGAAAGCGGCUUUCUGGACAGAAACUGACGCUGAUGCGCGAAAGCUAGGGGAGCAAACAGG
rnacentral:rRNA from 1 species